rnacentral:rRNA from 1 species
UACGGAAGGCAGCAGUGGGGAAUAUUGCACAAUGGGCGAAAGCCUGAUGCAGCUAUGCCGCGUGUAUGAAGAAGGCCUUAGGGUUGUAAAGUACUUUCAUCGGGGAGGAAAAACAAAACUAAUAAUUUUAUUUCUUGACGUUACCCGAAAAAGAAGCACCGGCUAACUCCGUGCCAGCAGCCGCGGUAAUACGGAGGGUGCUAGCGUUAAUCAGAAUUACUGGGCGUAAGGAGCACGUAGGUGGUUUUUUUAAGUCAGAUGUGAAAUCCCUGGGCUUAACCUAGGAACUGCAUUUUGAAACUGAAAUACUAGAGUAUCGUAGAGGGAGGUAGAAUUCUAGGUGUAGCGGUGAAAUGCGUAGAUAUCUGGAGGAAUACCUGUGGCGAAAGCGGCCUCCUAAACGAAUACUGACACUGAGGUGCGAAAGCGUGGGGAGCAAACAGGGAUUAGAUACCCGU